AUUGAACGCUGGCGGCAUGCCUUACACAUGCAAGUCGAACGGUAACGCGGGGCAACCUGGCGACGAGUGGCGAACGGGUGAGUAAUGCAUCGGAACGUGCCCAGUUGUGGGGGAUAACUGCUCGAAAGAGCAGCUAAUACCGCAUACGACCUGAGGGUGAAAGCGGGGGAUCGCAAGACCUCGCGCAAUUGGAGCGGCCGAUGUCGGAUUAGCUAGUUGGUGGGGUAAAGGCCCACCAAGGCGACGAUCCGUAGCCGGUCUGAGAGGACGACCAGCGAGAGUGGGGCGGAGAGACGGCCCAGACUCCCACGGGAGGCAGCAGGGGGGGAGUUUUGGACAAUGGACGCAAGUCUGAUCCAGCCAUGCCGCGUGGGGGAAGAAGGCCUUCGGGUUGUAAACCGCUUUUGUCAGGGAAGAAAUCUUCUGGGUUAAUACCUCGGGAGGAUGACGGUACCUGAAGAAUAAGCACCGGCUAACUACGUGCCAGCCGCCGCGGUAAGAC
rnacentral:rRNA from 1 species